CCUUGCCAGCCCGCUACAGAAACUCAAAGGAAUUGACGGGGGCCCGCACAAGCGGUGGAGUAUGUGGUUAAUUCGAUGCAACGCGAAGAACCUUACCUGGUCUUGACAUCCCGGAGACCCUUAGGAAACUAGGGGGUGCUUCCAUCUGGAAGAAUCUGGAGACAGGUGCUGCAUGGCUGUCGUCAGCUCGUGUCGUGAGAUGUUGGGUUAAGUCCCGCAACGAGCGCAACCCUUGCCUUUAGUUGCCAGCAGUUCGGCUGGGCACUCUAAAGGGACUGCCGGUGUUAAACCGGAGGAAGGUGGGGAUGACGUCAAGUCCUCAUGGCCUUUAUGACCAGGGCUACACACGUACUACAAUGGCCGAUACAAAGGGCAGCGACACUGCGAGGUGAAGCCAAUCCCGUAAAAUCGGUCUCAGUCCGGAUUGGAGUCUGCAACUCGACUCCAUGAAGUUGGAAUCGCUAGUAAUCGUGGAUCAGCAUGCCACGGUGAAUACGUUCCCGGGCCUU
rnacentral:rRNA from 1 species